rnacentral:lncRNA from 1 species
AUGCUUUCGUUAACAGCGGGGUCUCCUGGUCGCCAGCAUCUCCGAGUCAGCUGCGGGGGGUGGGCCAGAGCAGGGGAGAGGAUGGGUCCUGCGGGUGGGGGCCCAGCUCCAGCCUCAGUGUGCACCCGACCGUGCCGGCCCGGAGCAGAGAGGAUUGGGAUUCACAGGUCACCGGGACGGAAGGACCGGGCGCGGGGUACCGCGUCCCCGGGCUCACAAUCCUGCUUCGCGUCCCCAACUUGCUCUGCCUGCGAGAGGCCAGUGCUGCGGGUGGUAAAAAGAAUUUACCAACGGCCAAGGAAUUACAGCAAAGUGAAGUUUCACCAUCCACAGCAGGACAGCCGCAUUGCCCGCGUGGUGGCGCACAGCUGUCAUCCCUGCACUGGGGAGGCCGAGGCGGGAGAGUCGCUGUGAGUUCAAAGCCAGUGUGGGCUACAUAGUGCGGCCUUGUCUCGAAAAAAAUAAAAAAGAGCAGUGGAUGGGCCCAGGUGAGGCCCGCGCACUCGGGGUGAGGGCCGGGAUUCUGUGCUUGACUCUAAGGCGAGGAGGGCCGGGCGGCGUCACCCAGGGCCACAGCGCAGCCAGGUGCUGUUUGAGGACGGAGCGGGGCGCCUGUCCUCAGGCCAGCGUCCUGGGCUGG